GAACUGUGGUCUGACCUCCUCCGGCUGUGCUGAUCUCCGCUCUGUUAUUAUUACUAACCGGUCUCUGAUCAGACUGGACCUGACAUGGAAUUUUCUGCUGGACUCUGGAGUAAAACUUCUGUGUGAGGGACUAAGGCACCUGGACUGCACCCUACAGGAGCUCAGGUUACGUGUCUGCUCCCUGUCCUCAUUCUGCUGUGAGGAACUCUGCUCUGUCAUCGUCACCAACCGGUCACUGAUCAGUCUGGACCUGUCAGGGAACACACUUAACAACAGUGGAGUAAAACUUCUGUGUAAGGGACUGAGACACCCAGACUGUACCCUACAGGAUCUUAUGUUACAAGUCUGCGAGCUGACCUCAUCCUGCUGUGAAUAUCUCCGCUCUGUUAUUACCACCAAGUGCUCCCUGAUGAAGCUCAACCUGUCCGUGAACAAACUGCAGGACUGCGGGAUAAAGCUUCUGUGCGAGGGACUAAGACACCCAGA